rnacentral:lncRNA from 1 species
UUUUGCCUCCAGCUGAGCAAAGAGGGAUGUUGGCUGGAGGGAUUUUGCCUCCAGCUGAGCAAACAUGGAUGUUGGCUGGAGGGAUUUUUCCUCAUGUUGAGCAAACAUGGAUGUUGGCUGGAGGGAUUUUGCCUCGAGCUUAGCAAAGAGGGAUGUUGGCUGGAGCUCAGCGUGCCCAGAUCGGAAGGAUUUUGCCUGAACCUGAACUUGGUUUAGAGAUUGUCGCUGCAUAUUUUGGUGGAUGCACGUCAGACUAAAGGGGAAUAACAAGCUAAUGUUGACAAAAGAUGAUGAUACUUAGAAGAUGAGUUAAGUUCUUCCCUUUAAAUUUGUGUGGAAGUAGUGCAGGUGGAUCUGCUCUUUCAAUUUGUUGGAUAGGGCAAUUCUCCUACGGUUUUUCUAUAGCAAAUAUAUAGGCAAAGGAAGAGAGCAGUUGUUCUAAUAUGCGGUAGAGUAUCGAGUAAGCAAAUGACGUGACAGUAUUUUUAAUAUUUGGAGAGAAGCUUCUCCUUAAUUGGCUUUCGAUGUGAGGACAUCAUCCAGAUACCACUUUUUGUUUCAAAUUUGACUUAACUUUUUUUUUUUUUAGCUUUUGUAAAGACAAAAUUUAGAUGAGUUUUUUAAAAUAAAAUUAGUAAUGUUUUUUAUUAAAAAAUUUUGGCAAAAAUUUUAAUAAAAAAUUCAAUUUAUAAAUUAAUAAAGUUUAAUAAAAAAUAUAUAAUAUAUAAACUAAUUAUUAAAAAUACUAUUUUUAAUUAAAAUUUGGCUCAUACUCAUUUAACUAUUAAAAUUCCAUCAAAAUUUUCAUUAAAACUGUAUAUUUAAAAAAUAUAUUAAAAUAUAUUAAUUUUUUAAAAAUUUUACAUUCGUUAUAUUUAUAAUAAAAUCUCUUGAUUUGUAUUUUUUAUUUUUAUUAUUCUUAAUAAAAAAAACUUCACAAAGAUUAUUUAAAAAUUUUAAUUUAAUGUAAGACUUUUCUCUUUUCUAAUAGUAGGAAGAAUCUUCUAUUCCUUUUUCAUAUAUUUUAUUUAACUUUUACAUUAUUCAAGUUGACUCUACGUAAAUUAUUCUUUUGAGGAUUUUUUUGCUUUUGAUGUUUCUUUUGAGAAAAUAUCUCUCAAGUAUGAAUUUAGUUAAGAUGAGUGAAAAUUAAUUCAUGAUCCUAAAAAUUUUGUCCAGAAAAUUACUGAUUAAAAUAGAGAAGCUUCAACAGUUCCUCUAAUCUCAAAAAAAACAUAAAAAAAGUGCCAUUAAAAUUACAAUUUUUUAUAGUGCAAAAAACAAGAUAAUAGAAGAAUAGUGAUGGCCAGAAAAUUAUAUCCCAUUAAAUUAUUUUUUAAUAUUUAAAAUUGUAAUAUAUUAAAUUCUAAUUAUUAUAAUUAAAAAUUAAAUAUUCCAUCAAAAAAUUAUGUCUCAGAAAAGUUAAUCAUAUAAUAAUAGUAUUAUACUAUAUGCAUGCAUGUGUACCUGUACUUUACUUUUAUUGAUUAUCAUAAAAUUUGCCAGGUUGUUAAAAAAAUAUUUUAAAGCUCAAAUAGACUUUAUAAUUAAACAAAUUAAUACAUACAUAAAUAAAAAUGUGAAUAAUAAAAAGCAAAAGGGUAAAAAAAAAACUUUUGAACUAAAAUUUAAUAAUCAUUCAAAUAUUUGUUUUUUUUUACAAUCAAUUAAAUAUUUAAAUAUUUAUUUUCAUCAAUUAAAUUCUUACUAAAAAAAUGAUUAAUUGUUUCAGUUCAACCGAUGACUUAAUUGAGUAAAAAUAAAUAUAUAACAUUUUAAUUCGAUGAAAAUAAAUACUUAAAAAUUUAAGAUUUGAUUAAUUAUAAUAAAGUAUUAAAAUUUUAAAUAAUUGUUAAAUUUUUAUGCCAAAAUUUCUUUUACCCUUUUGCCAUAAUGAAAGAAGUAGCCGUCGUUAAUCUUGACUUGACUAUAGUAUAUUCCUUUCCACCUAAAAUUAAUUGACUUUUUUUUUUUUAUCAAAUUUCUUAAUUUUGAUUAUUAUUUUUAAUAAAAUUAAAAAUAUUAAAAUAAUAUUUGCAAAUUAUGAGUUUCAAAUUUCUUAAUUUACAAUUGUAGUUUCAUAUAAUAUUUUAUAAAAUGAAGAUCAAAUUGACUUUUUAUUUGAAAAAAAUAAAAGGUAAUUAAUUAUGACGAAAAUAGUAUUUACAAUGAAUGGGUACUAUAUAGAUUAUUAUUUAUAUAAGAAUAUAUAUUGUAUGUUGCAGUGUUAAAUAUAUAUAAGUGAAUCUUAUAUUAUAUAUUUUUGUUAGUUUUAUAUUUAAAAAAAUAAAAUUUUUAGUUUGGCACUCCAAUUUUAAUUUUAUCAUCCAUUUUGAUACCGGAUGCUAACAUCAUUAGUUAAUUUAUUAAUAUAGUAUGAAUAUCCAACAAAAUAUGAACAUAUGUCAAAACAUUUUGUCAGCACCAUAUCAUUAUUUGUUACGUCAACAUUAAAAAAAAAUUUUUAAAAAUUCAAAAGAUUUCUAAAUUUUUUAAAAUUCUAAAAUAUAUUAACAAUUUAAAAAAAAUAAAAAAGUUGAAAUGUUUAGAAAUUUUAUGAGAACUUCAAAUUUUUUUAAAAAUCUCAAUUUUUAUAGAAAACUAAAAAACUUCUAAAAAAUUUUUAAAAAUAAAAUUUUCUUAAAAUUAAACAAACAACAAAACUUAAAAAAGUUUAAAAUAUUAAAAAAAUCUAAAAAUUUUUGAAAAUCUAAAAGUUUUAAAAAAAUUGCAAAAAACUUAUUACAAAUUAUGAAAAAUUUUCACUUUUUUCAAUCUUAAUAUUUUGAUAUUUUAAAUAUUUUAUAAAUUUUGAAGAUUUUUUAAAAAUUUUUUAUUUUUUUUAGAAUUUUUAUAUUUUUAGAAUACUCCAGAUUUUUUAAAUUUGUUCUAAGUUUUUUAAAAUUUUAAGAAUUUCUUUUUAAAAAUUUCAGAUUUUUUUAAAAAAAUAAUUUUUAAUUUUCAAAAAAUUUGAGUUUUUUUUUUUAUUUUCAAGUUUUAAGUUUUUUUUGAAUUUUUUUAAAUUUGAAGAAUUUUUUAUUUUGAUUAAAAUUUUCAAUAUUUUUAUUUUUUGAUUUUUUGGAUUUUUAUUAAAAUUUUAGAGUUUUUGAAAAUUUUAAGUUUUCAUAAUUGUUGUCAUUUUGAUAAUUUCUAAAAUUAUUUCAUAUUUUUAAUUAUAAUUUUUUAAAAUAUUUUAGUUUUUCUAAUUUUUUUUAAAUUUUUUUGAAAUUGUCUUCUAACGUUGACAUGGCAUUUGCUGUCGUGGCAUUGAUCGGACUUUUUAAUACGUAUUAAUAUUUUAUUAGAUGAAUAUGCCACAUUAGUAAGUUGAUUAAUAACAUUCGUUUAAAGUAUCAAAGUGGAUGAUAGAAUAAAAAUUUGAGUACUAAACUAAUAACUUUAGUUUUUAAAGUAUUAAAUUAACAAAAAAAUGUAUCCUUCGAUCAAGAUCAGGAAUGGUCAUUAAAUUUGGAUCGAGAUUGUGAAUGAUCAUUGGAUUUGGAUCAAAUCAAGAUUGAAAAUGAUUGUUAAACUUUGUUAAGGAUCGAGAUCAAGAUCGAUCCUUAAUUUGAGAUCAAGAUUGAAUCAUGAGUCAAGAUUUUUUGGAUUCAAUCCAUGGAUCAAGAGUUUUCCCUGAAUUCAAUUAAUAAAUUUGGAGUUUUUUUGGACUCGAUCCAUAGAUUGGGAGAUUUCCUGUCGUUAAUUUCUGAUAAUACUUCUAUCAAGAUAUAGAUGGUCAUGGGACGAAGCAGAUGUUGUUGACAAAGUUCAUGUAUAAAGAAGAUUAAACCUUAAAAAAGAAAAAAAAAACUUUGCUUCUUAAAAAUUGAAAUGAGGAGAUAUGGGAGAGAAGAAAUAAGAGGAAAUUUGAUAGAAUUUAUGUUUUAAUAUCUUAAAAUACAUUAUUUAAUAUAGUGAGGAAACUUCCCCCGUUUUGGCUAUUGAUGUUCUACGGAAUUACAAAGUUGUUCCUUAAAAAAAGAUAUGCAAAGUUGUUGGCUUUUGUUUUAAUAGGCUUUGGUUUACGUUUUUGGUACCAACUUAAUUCACGAGUCAAGAUAUCUCAUCAAGUAUUAAUUGGAUAAUAAAAUAAGGAUUGUACACAUCAUCCUUGAUAUGAAUAAAGACCUUUGACCUAAAUAAAUUUAUAGUCAAUGUCAGCUUGGAAAAGAAUAUGAAAUUUGUAUGUUUUAUAUCGGUAAUUGGUUUUCUUUGGAUUUUAUCUAUGAAUUCGGACCCUCUUUGAUUUUCAUGUUUAGAUCGAGAUCAUGAAAUUUUUUUUACUUUCAUCUUUAGUUUGAAAUCGUAAUUUGGAUCGAGUUCGUGAUUUGUUUUUCUUUUUUUUCAGAGGAAACUGAUGCUAUUGAUAAAAUUGAUGUAUAGAGAAGAUUAACAAAAAAAAAAUCUUUGCUUCUUGAAAAUUGAAAUGAGUGGGAGACAAGGGAGAGAAGAAAUAAGAUAUCUUUUUACCAAUAUGUGGUUAGCUCAAUUAGUUAAAAUUUUUUUUUCGAUAUAAAGGUUUUAGAUUCGAGUUUUUGUAAGUGAUCGUUUAUUAAAGUUAUCUCGAAUGCAUGACCUGCAGUCAUAUGUCUUACAUUAUCAAAUAUAACAUAUUUUAUCUUAAUCUGAAAUAUUGAAAAUCCUAUCUACCUUCAAAUUUUUUCCUACCCAAAAAUAAAUAAAUAAAUAAGAGGUCUCUUUUUUAUGUUUUAAUAUCUUAAAAUUCAUUUAAUAUUUGGACAAAAACUUCCCUCUUUUUACAUGUUGAUGUUCUAAGAAACUCAUAGCUGUUGGCUUUUGUUUUAAUAGGCUUUGGUUUAUUAAUUUGGUUGUACAAAAUUGACCUAAUACUUAAUUUGGGUGUACUAAAUUGACCUAAUUCCUUGAUUAUAUGUAAAAAAUUACAAACACAACUUCUAUUUUCUUAAAAAAAAAAACAUUUGACCGAAUCCGGUUUUCUUAACUUUUGAUUAGACUUCAUGAGUCGUGACAUCUCAUCAAGUAUUAAUUGGAUAGAAAAAUUAUGAUAUUACAAAUCAUCUUUGAUAUAUGGAUAUAAACACCUUUCACCUAAAUAAAUUUAUUGUCAUUUUUAGGUAAAAAAGAAAAAAGAAUAUGAAUUUGUCUAUUUUAUAUUAUCUUUUGCUAUAUUUUUAAAUGAGCUUCCUUAAAGGUGUUGAUUAUUAGCCUUUAAAGCUUACUUAAAAAAAAACUCAAUCCUUUACAAUAAUCAUCUUAUCCUCUAUAUUAAAAUAAAAGACUCAAUAAUCAUUUUUGUUAUUUCUAUCGUUAUUGUAAAUUAUUUAAUUUGGUAUUAUUUUUUAAUAAAUAUUUUUUUUAAAAAAAUAAAGUGAUGGACUCAUUGCUAACGCUGAGCUGUGAAAUGAGUAUAUCAUAAAUUGAGUGAUAAUUAGCUCCCACUUACUUUCAAUAAAAAUCCAAAAUAUAUAUGAUGAUAUUUGUAGAAGAUAUUAGUUUUGAAGGCUGCAAACGCAAUAAUAAACAUUUGUUUUAAUAAAUAUAUAAUAAAUCUCUCUUGCGUUCCACAUGUAAGAACAAUUGUAAUAUGAAUAACAAUAAUAAAUGACAAUGAAUCUAAAAUAUAAUUCCGUGUUAGAUAUGGAGCUACACCAUGUUACCAUGAAGAUAUCGAUCAUUUUUCCUUACAAUAUGUAUGUUUUGGGUAGAAUACCCGAUAAGAAACAUGAUUAUGGUUGUUUAAAUGCGGCUGGUUUUAAGGAAACACUAGUAUUGAGGAUAGAAAUAUAUGGCGGUGUUGAGCAUAUCUCCUCGUAUUAAGAAUAUGGAAAUUGAUUAAAUGAUCAGAUAAUCAAUUAAAUUUAGAAUAUGGAACACUAUCAGAUGGCUGGAUCCGGGCUGAGUAUAUGAAACUUGAUUAGAUGGCCGGUAUGCUGACUGAGAGUUUGGAAAUUAAUCAGAUGGUCGGAAUGAGAAUGAUGAAUGUGGAACUUGCUUAGAUCGCAGCGUUUUACUUCUAGUGAUGGCUUGGUUGGACCUUGGCUUGGGUGGUGGAUGUUGGUUGGACCUCAAGUGGGGUGAUGGAUCUUGACUGGACCAUAAUCGGGGUGGUGGAUAUCGACUGGACCAUAGUUGGUGUUUUGGACAUUGCUUGUAUCAUAGCUGGGGUGGUGGACUUCCGGAAUGAGAAUCAUGAAUUAGAUCGUAGAGUUUUUCUCCCACUGGUGGAUAUUGACCGAACCAUAGCUGGGGUUUUAGCUAUUGCUUGGACCAUAACUGGGGUGGUGGAUUUCCGGAAUGAUAAUGAUGAAUUAGAUUGUAGGUUUUUGCUUUUAGUGGUGGAUAUUGACUGGAUCAUAGCUGGAGUUGUGGAUAUUGACUGGACCACAGUUCGGUUUUGGGAUUGUCCCGGUGUAUUAGACGGCCAGUAAGCAAAUUGAGAAGAUGAAAAUUGAUUAGAUUGGGUACAUGUAACUUGAUCGGACGAUCGGAUUUGGAUUGAGGAUAUGGGAGUUAAGAAUAUGAAACUUGAUUAAAUGAAGGGUAUGUUAAUUGAGAACUCGGAAAUUGAUCAGAUGACUGAAAUGAGAUUGAUAAAUUUGGAGCUUGGUUAGAUCGCUCGGCAUCACUGCUAGUGAUGGAUUGUUGGACCUUAGCUGGAGCUCGGAUGGAUUUUUGGACCUUAUCUGGAGCUCGGACGGAUGAGAGCUCGGAAUUUUUCCCGGACCUCUUUGAAAGCUCGGAUGGAUUUUUCCUGGACCUCUUUGACAGCUCGGAUGGAAUUUGACUGGACCUCUUUGACAACUUGGAUGGAUUUUUCCUGGAACUCUUUGAUAGCUCGGAUGGAAUUUGGCUGGACCUCAGCUUGUAAAACUCGGAUGGAUUUUUCCUGGACCUCUUUAACAAGCUCGGAGGGAUUUUGACCGGAGCUUGGCUUGGACAUCUCGAAGGGACGGGACAGGACCCUCAGCUUGGACAGCUCGGAGAGACUUUUCCGGGACCAGAACUUGGUUUAGAGAUUCUCGCCGCAUAUUUUGGUGGAGGCACGUCGGAGUAAAGGGGAAUAACAAGCUAUUGUUGACAAAAGAUGAUGCAUACUUACAGGAUGAGUUAAGUUCUUCCCUUUAAAUUUGUGAGGAAGUAGUGCAGGUGGAUCUGCUCUUU